rnacentral:rRNA from 1 species
AUUGAACGCUGGCGGCAGGCCUAACACAUGCAAGUCGAACGAGUGGCGGACGGGUGAGUACUGUAUGUGAAACUGCCUGAUGGAGGGGGAUAACUAAUGGAAACGGUAGCUAAUACCGCAUACCAUCAGAUGUGCCGGUAUGGGAUUAGGUUGUUGGUGGGGUAACGGCUCACCAAGGCGACGAUCCCUAGCUGGUAUGAGAGGUUGACCAGCCACACUGGAACGUAGACACGGUCCAGACUCCUACGGGAGGCAGCAGGGGGGAAUAUUGAACAAUGGGCGCAAGCCUUAUGCAGCCAUGCCGCGUGUAUGAAGAAGGCCUUCGGGUUGUAAAGUACUUUCAGCGGGGAGGCGUUACCCGCAGAAGAAGCACCGGCUAACUCCGUGCCAGCAGCCGCGGUAAUAC